rnacentral:rRNA from 1 species
UACGUAGGGUGCGAGCGUUAAUCGGAAUUACUGGGCGUAAAGCGUGCGCAGGCGGUUCGUUGUGUCGGCGGUGAAAGCCCCGGGCUUAACCUGGGAAUGGCCGUCGAAACUGGCGAACUGGAGUGUGGCAGAGGGGGGUGGAAUUCCGCGUGUAGCAGUGAAAUGCGUAGAGAUGCGGAGGAACACCGAUGGCGAAGGCAGGUCUCUGGGCUGAUACUGACGCUCAUGCACGAAAGCGUGGGGAGCAAACAGG